rnacentral:misc_RNA from 1 species
UUUCCGUAGGUGAACCUGCGGAAGGAUCAUUCAUAAUAAAGUGUUUUAUGGAACUUUCUAAAAAUCCAUAUUCACCUUGUGUGCAAUGUUAGAUCGCGUCAAUCUUGGCGAGAUGUUUAUACAUCAACUCAUUCUUUAACUAAUUUGUCUGAACAAUAUUAUGAAUACUUAAUUCAAAAUACAACUUUCAACAACGGAUCUCUUGGCUCUC